rnacentral:rRNA from 1 species
GAUGAACGCUGGCGGCGUGCUUAACACAUGCAAGUCGAACGAGAAAUGUAGACGGAAACCUUCGGGCGGAAGCCUUCAUUUCGAGUGGCGGACGGGUGAGUAACGCGUGGGUAACCUGCCUCAUACAGGGGGAUAACAGUUGGAAACGACUGUUAAUACCGCAUAAGACCACAGCAUCGCAUGAUGCGGGGGUAAAAACUCCGGUGGUAUGAGAUGGACCCGCGUUCGAUUAGCCAGUUGGCGGGGUAACGGCCCACCAAAGCGACGAUCGAUAGCCGAUCUGAGAGGAUGACCGGCCACAUUGGGACUGAGACACGGCCCAAACUCCUACGGGAGGCAGCAGUGGGGAAUAUUGCACAAUGGGGGAAACCCUGAUGCAGCGACGCCGCGUGAGUGAAGAAGUACUUCGGGAUGUAAAGCUCUAUCAGCAGGGAAGAAAAUGACGGUACCUGAGUAAGAAGCCCCGGCUAACUACGUG